CAGCCGCCGCGGUAAUACAGAGGAUGCAAGCGUUAUCCGGAAUCACUGGGCAUAAAGCGUCUGUAGGUUGCCUACCAAGUCUGCUGUUAAAGAUCAGGGCCUAACCCUGGGAAAGCAGUGGAAACUAGUAGGCUUGAGUGUGGUAGAGGUAGAGGGAAUUCCUGGUGUAGCGGUGAAAUGCGUAGAUAUUAGGAAGAACACCAAUGGCGAAAGCACUCUACUGGCCAUAACUGACACUGAGAGACGACAGCUAGGGGAGCAAAUGGGAUUAGAUACCCCAGUAGUCCUAGCCGUAAACGAUGGAUACUAGGUGCUGCACGUAUUAACCCGUGCAGUAUCGUAGCUAAGGCGUUAAGUAUCCCGCCUGGGAAGUACGCUCGCAAGAGUGAAACUCAAAUGAAUUGACGG
rnacentral:rRNA from 1 species